AUUGAACGCUGGCGGCAUGCUUUACACAUGCAAGUCGAACGGUAACAGGUUAAGCUGACGAGUGGCGAACGGGUGAGUAAUGCAUCGGAACGUGCCCGAUCGUGGGGGAUAACGCAGCGAAAGCUGCGCUAAUACCGCAUACGAUCUGAGGAUGAAAGCGGGGGACCGUAAGGCCUCGCGCGAUCGGAGCGGCCGAUGUCAGAUUAGGUAGUUGGUGGGGUAAAGGCUCACCAAGCCAACGAUCUGUAGCUGGUCUGAGAGGACGACCAGCCACACUGGGACUGAGACACGGCCCAGACUCCUACGGGAGGCAGCAGUGGGGAAUUUUGGACAAUGGGCGAAAGCCUGAUCCAGCAAUGCCGCGUGCAGGAAGAAGGCCUUCGGGUUGUAAACUGCUUUUGUACGGAGCGAAAAGGCUCUCUCUAAUACAGGGGGCUCAUGACGGUACCGUAAGAAUAAGCACCGGCUAACUACGUGCCAGCCGCCGCAGUAA
rnacentral:rRNA from 1 species